rnacentral:miRNA from 1 species
CCGUGGGCAUCUGGCACCGCGGCGGCUCCUGCAUGAUCAUCGCGGGCGGGGCCUGGACCUACAACAUUUCUGCAGUCACAGUGAAGUCUACC